rnacentral:tRNA from 1 species
GAGAAUAUAGCUCAAAGGGUAGAGCUCAUGCUUAGCACACAAGAGGUCCUGGGUUCAAUCCCCAGUACCUCCU